rnacentral:rRNA from 1 species
AGAGUUUGAUCCUGGCUCAGGACGAACGCUGGCGGCGUGCCUAAUACAUGCAAGUCGAACGAAGCUUUCUUUCACCGAAUGCUUGCAUUCACCGAAAGAAGCUUAGUGGCGAACGGGUGAGUAACACGUAGGCAACCUGCCCAAAAGAGGGGGAUAACACUUGGAAACAGGUGCUAAUACCGCAUAACCAUGAACACCGCAUGAUGUUCGUGUAAAAGACGGCUUUUGCUGUCACUUUUGGAUGGGCCUGCGGCGUAUUAACUUGUUGGUGGGGUAACGGCCUACCAAGGUGAUGAUACGUAGCCGAACUGAGAGGUUGAUCGGCCACAUUGGGACUGAGACACGGCCCAAACUCCUACGGGAGGCAGCAGUAGGGAAUCUUCCACAAUGGACGAAAGUCUGAUGGAGCAACGCCGCGUGAAUGAAGAAGGCCUUCGGGUCGUAGAAUUCUGUUGUCAGAGAAGAAUGUGCGUGAGAGUAACUGUUCACGUAUUGACGGUAUCUGACCAGAAAGCCACGGCUAACUACGUGCCAGCAGCCGCGGUAAUACGUAGGUGGCAAGCGUUGUCCGGAUUUAUUGGGCGUAAAGGGAACGCAGGCGGUCUUUUAAGUCUGAUGUGAAAGCCUUCGGCUUAACCGAAGUAGUGCAUUGGAAACUGGAAGACUUGAGUGCAGAAGAGGAGAGUGGAACUCCAUGUGUAGCGGUGAAAUGCGUAGAUAUAUGGAAGAACACCAGUGGCGAAAGCGGCUCUCUGGUCUGUAACUGACGCUGAGGUUCGAAAGCGUGGGUAGCAAACAGGAUUAGAUACCCUGGUAGUCCACGCCGUAAACGAUGAGUGCUAAGUGUUGGAGGGUUUCCGCCCUUCAGUGCUGCAGCUAACGCAUUAAGCACUCCGCCUGGGGAGUACGGUCGCAAGACUGAAACUCAAAGGAAUUGACGGGGGCCCGCACAAGCGGUGGAGCAUGUGGUUUAAUUCGAAGCAACGCGAAGAACCUUACCAGGUCUUGACAUCUUCUGACAAUUCCAGAGAUGGAACGUUCCCUUCGGGGACAGAAUGACAGGUGGUGCAUGGUUGUCGUCAGCUCGUGUCGUGAGAUGUUGGGUUAAGUCCCGCAACGAGCGCAACCCUUAUUGUCAGUUGCCAUCAUUAAGUUGGGCACUCUGGCGAGACUGCCGGUGACAAACCGGAGGAAGGUGGGGAUGACGUCAAAUCAUCAUGCCCCUUAUGACCUGGGCUACACACGUGCUACAAUGGACGGUACAACGAGUCGCUAACUCGCGAGGGCAAGCUAAUCUCUUAAAGCCGUUCUCAGUUCGGAUUGCAGGCUGCAACUCGCCUGCAUGAAGUCGGAAUCGCUAGUAAUCGCGAAUCAGCAUGUCGCGGUGAAUACGCUCCCGGGCCUUGUACACACCGCCCGUCACACCAUGAGAGUUUGUAACACCCAAAGUCGGUGGGGUAACCUUUUGGAGCCAGCCGCCUAAGGUGGGACAGAUGAUUGGGGUGAAGUCGAAACAAGGUA